GGCACGCCUGCCCAGUGAACAUUAAACGGCCGCGGUACCCUAACCGUGCAAAGGUAGCAUAAUCAUUUGUCUACUAAUUAUAGACCUGUAUGAAAGGCAAAAUGAGGGCCCAACUGUCUCUUAUAAUAAAUCAAUUAAACUGAUCUCCUAGUAAAAAAGCUAGAAUUUCAACAUAAGACCAGAAGACCCUGUGAAGCUUAAACUAAACUAUUAAACCACCUAAUAACUACUUUCGGUUGGGGCGACCUUGGAAAAAAAAAGAACUUCCAAAACAACGACUUACUCGCAUAAACAAGAGGCCAACAAGCCCACAAAUGACCCAGCAAGACUGAUAAUCGAACCAAGUUACUCCAGGGAUAACAGCGCAAUCUUCUUCAAGAGCCCAUAUCAAAAAGAAGGUUUACGACCUCGAUGUUGGAUCAGGACAUCCUAACGGUGCAGCCGCUAUUAAGGGUUCGUUUGUUCAACGAUUAAUAGUCCUACGUGAUCUGAGUUCAAACCGGA
rnacentral:rRNA from 1 species